CUGAAUGGGCUAGGGGGCCACAAAGCUUACCGAACCCUAUCAAACUACGAAUACCAAGGAAUCGAUGAUCGGGAGUCAGACAGUGAGAGAUAAGUUCCAUUGUCGAGAGGGAAACAGCCCAGACCUACGACUAAGGUCCCAAAGUACACGUUAAGUGGAAAAGGAUGUGCAGUUGCACAGACAACCAGGAUGUUGGCUUAGAAGCAGCCACGCAUUUAAAGAGUGCGUAAUAGCUCACUGGUCGAGUGAAUGUGCGCCGAAAAUGUACCGGGGCUAAACGUGACACCGAAGUCUAGGGAUCAGAAAUGAUCGGUAGGGGAGCAACGUAUACGGGGUGAAGCCGAAGCGGGAGCGACGGUGGACUGUAUGGGAGAGAGAAUGCCGGCAUGAGUAGCGAGAGCAAAGUGAGAAUCUUUGCCGUCGAAAGCCUAAGGUUUCCUGAGGUAGGCUCGUCCACUCAGGGUAAGUCGGGACCUAAGCCGAGGACAGAAGUCGUAGGCGAUGGAGAUCAGGUUGAUAUUCCUGAACCGUCUUUAGCGUAAGACAGAGGCAGUGACACAGAAGGAUAGACAGAGCGGAGCGAUGGUAGACUCCGUCCAAGCGGUGAGGCCGUAGCGUAGUGAAGUACGCGCUGCAAGGCUGGGCCGUGAAGGGGACCGAAAACAAGUAGGGAAGCUGUUGAAUUCACGCUGGCGAGAAAAGCUGCUAUGGAGCGAAAAGGCGCCCGUACCGCAAACCGACACAGGUAGGCGAGGAGAGAAUCCUAAGACGAGCGGGAGAACCCUUGUUAAGGAACUCGGCAAAAUGACCCUGUAACUUCGGGAUAAAGGGAGCCUCGAGAGAGGCCGCAGAGAAUAGGCCCAAGCGACUGUUUACCAAAAACACAGGUCUGUGCGAAGUAGAGAUACGACGUAUACGGGCUGACGCCUGCCCAGUGCCGGAAGGUUAAGGGGAAGUGUCAGGGGGAGACCCCGAAGCACGGAACUUAAGCCCCGGUGAACGGCGGCCGUAACUAUAACGGUCCUAAGGUAGCGAAAUUCCUUGUCGGGUAAGUUCCGACCCGCACGAAAGGUGUAACGAUUUGGGCACUGUCUCAACGAGGGACCCGGUGAAAUUGAAAUACCUGUGAAGAUGCAGGUUACCCGCGACUGGACAGAAAGACCCCAUGGAGCUUUACUGUAACCUGACAUUGGGUUUUGUUGUAUUACGUACAGGAUAGGUGGGAGGCUUAGAAGGCUGGACGCUAGUCUGGCUGGAGCCGGCGUUGGGAUACCACCCUUGAUACAACGGAAUUCUAACCGAGAGAGUAACGAAAUCCGGGACAGUGUCAGGCGGGCAGUUUGACUGGGGCGGUCGCCUCCGAAAGAGUAACGGAGGCGCCCAAAGGUUCCCUCAGCGCGGCCGGAAAUCGCGCGAAGAGUGUAAAGGCAGAAGGGAGCUUGACUGCGAGCCAAACACGGCGAGCAGGUACGAAAGUAGGGCUUAGUGAUCCGGUGGUACCGAGUGGAAGGGCCAUCGCUCAACGGAUAAAAGCUACCCUGGGGAUAACAGGCUAAUCUCUCCCAAGAGUCCAUAUCGACGGGGAGGUUUGGCACCUCGAUGUCGGCUCAUCACAUCCUGGGGCUGAAGUCGGUCCCAAGGGUUGGGCUGUUCGCCCAUUAAAGUGGUACGUGAGCUGGGUUCAGAACGUCGUGAGACAGUUCGGUCCCUAUCCAUCGCGGGCGCAAGAGAUUUGAAGGGGUCUGCUCCUAGUACGAGAGGACCGGAGUGGACGGACCGCUGGUGUACCAGUUAUUCCGCCAGGAGUACAGCUGGGUAGCUACGUCCGGACUGGAUAAACGCUGAAAGCAUCUAAGCGUGAAGCCAUCCUUAAGAUGAGAUCUCUCACAGAGUAAUCUGGU
rnacentral:rRNA from 1 species